UCCGAGUUGACCCCGGCAGUCUCCCAUGAGUCCCCACCAUCACGUGCUGGCAACAUGGAACGAGGGUUGCGCUCGUUGCGGGACUUAACCCAACAUCUCACGACACGAGCUGACGACAGCCAUGCAGCACCUUGCACUCCGCCUGGUUUUACCCAGGAGGCCCCGUCUCCGGGGUUGUCGGAGGCAUUCUAGCCCAGGUAAGGUUCUUCGCGUUGCGUCGAAUUAAACCACAUGCUCCACCGCUUGUGCGGGUCCCCGUCAAUUCCUUUGAGUUUUAAUCUUGCGACCGUACUCCCCAGGCGGGAUGCUUAAAGCGUUAGCUGCGCCACUGACGAGCAAGCUCGCCAACGGCUAGCAUCCAUCGUUUACGGCGUGGACUAC
rnacentral:misc_RNA from 1 species